GUUGCAACGUUUGCACUGAAGCCAGGAGUUACUGCGGUUGCAACCUAAGGUUCUUCCGACAUAAGGUAACCACUGGCAAUUUGGAGUCACUGGGUCGCCUCGUAACGAAAAGGCGUCCUUCCGCACAGCACUUUACCAGUGCCAGCAGUCCAGUAUCGAAAAGACGCCUGCGAGUGAAUCACCGUCAGAAAGAAGUUUGCACGCAUGGAUGGGUCGGCUUGCCAGCCUGAGAUGCCCACAGCGUUCACUUACAGUGACAGCAGCGACAGCGCACGAGUGUUGUGCCGCUUAUCCCCUCUCAGUGUAGACAUCAGUUAACUUUCUCCCCUCGCGCUCUACGCGCAGUUUGUCCUUUCAUGUUAGGCAGCCUCUAAACCACGAUAGUCUUUUAAAUUCCCCAUUUUUGUUAGACAAAUUAUUUUGUGUUAUUCUUUUCUUUUGUUGUUUUAACCGAGGCUCUGGUCCAGCGUGUACAGAGGAGCUCACGUUUUGCCAUCACGAGAUAUUAUUGCGUGUGUAAUCUGCAUGCUUAACUUGCCGUGAAGUUUUCAUAGUAUACAGGUUUGCAGUGUUUUCAUAGACUAGACGCGGGUUUGGGGGUCACCGUGUGUUUUGUGGUUUAGUGAAGCCUUGUGUUUUAUUGAGCCGUUUGUAUGAACAUUGUUGGCCAGACAACCUCAGUUUUAGGUUAAUCCUGUCUUUUUUCUUUCUUUUAAUAUUUAUUGUAAAUAAUAAAAUUACACUUUGUAUUUUCAACUCCAAUC